rnacentral:lncRNA from 1 species
GACACACACACAGACACACACACACACACACACUCCAAAAGGAAGCCGGCUGCCAAGGGGGUCCCCCAAAGAGGCCCUGUUCAAAGGGGAAGAUCAGGGAAGCACUUAGCCAAUCUAGAAAUGCAGGUCUGAGCUGGCCUGGGGCUUUAGCGGAGGGCUGCUGUCUCUGGACCAUCACAGAAGUGCUAACUGCUGGGCCCUGUGGUGCACAGUUCAAGAGGACCCUAACAUCUGCUCUGCACUGUCACAUGGGCUUGGUCUCCUUAUCUCCACCAACUGCACCUCUGCGCAGAGGACAGGAAGGGGCCAAGCAGUACCCCCCUGAGGGCCUAGGAGGCAAGAGGAGAUGAAGGAAAGGCUGAAGAACUGGGUGUGCCCCAGAGGAUUUCACAGGACAGUGUCUUCUUGCGGGAUACACACUAGGAGCUAAACAUCUGUUGCCUGUACGAGAAUGAUAACUAGUCCACGAACAGCUUCCUGAUGCAUCCUGGGAGGUCUUGGCAGAGCCAUUCAGGGUCACCGUGUUAUCCAGAAAUGGCAGCCACUGGCUACGCGUGACGGGUCAAAUGUACAUGUAAGUACCAAUGAAUGAAAUAAAGACGACGUUCCUGGUUCAUCCGGGCCACAUCUGGA